GAUGAAGAACGCAGCGAAAUGCGAUAAGUAAUGUGAAUUGCAGAAUUCAGUGAAUCAUCGAAUCUUUGAACGCACCUUGCGCUCCUUGGUAUUCCGAGGAGCAUGCCUGUUUGAGUGUCAUGAAAUUCUCAACCUUUUCAGCUUUCUUUGUUGAUCAGGCUUGGAUGUGGGAGUAUGCGGGCUUCUCAGAAGUCGGCUCUCCUGAAAUGCAUUAGCGGGACCUUUGUUGCCUGGCUUUGGUGUGAUAAUUAUCUACGCCAUUGUGGUCAAGCAGCUUAAAAUGAGGUUUCAGCUUCUAACCGUCUCCCCUGAGACAACUUUUUGACAAUUUGACCUCAAAUCAGGUAGGACUACCCGCUGAACUUAAGCAUAUCAAUAAGUGGAGGA
rnacentral:misc_RNA from 1 species